UUGCUGGCCACAAAAUCUUCUACACCAUACACUCCCGGGCCUUCAGCUCGAGAAUUGGCAUAGAUGUUUCAAGUGUUUCCGAAAGACUGAGAGCAUUGGUAUGAUAGUAAAUUUGUUUGUAUAAAAUAUAUAUCCCAUAACUAUAUAUAAAGAGAAAAUCCCGCAUAUGGUACAUAUGUCUAGUUAUUAGCUAGAAGAACGGGAUGGGAACACCCUUCAGUAGCUAUAUAACAUCUUCUUCAUGUUGUUUUCACAACAUGAUCAAUGUAUGGAAAAGGAUGUUGACUGAUCUGUGAUUUUUCACUGACUUCUGGGCUGUCACGGCUUGUUGUUGGUUGCUGGAGUAUUUUCAGAAUAAGCUUAUAUUCAUGUAUUGCUCGAUAUUCUGGCUA